GCUGCGGCAGGGGAAAGGGCCCGGGAGCCCGGGCAGGCUGCACUUGCGAUCUAGGCGAACCCCGGACUUGAGAGGUCCGCAGAUGUUAAAGGUGAAGCACCCUAAAAAUGCAGAAACGUGUGGUCCGGAUAGCUCAGCCCAUUGCAUUCGUGUGGCCACACGGGAUGCGGGUGGUCAAGAAUUGAUGCAUGCUAGGCAAGUGCUUUACCACAAGAACUCACUGUAUGGCCCAGGCUGGCCCUAAACUGUUGACAUUCCUCUACCCGAAACUUUCAAGUAUUGGGAUUACAGAUUGUGGGGCAAUGGCAGCCAUCAUGAUAAACACUGUGUCAUAAGGUACGGAUGGAGGAAAAUGGAAUCUAGGUCCCUGUGACAUUGCGGAGCUAUAGGAGCCUGGGACCGCUUCAUUAGUUUGAACACAUUAAUAAUAAACUCUGAGUCACCAAUAA